GAUGAACGCUGGCGGCGUGCCUAACACAUGCAAGUCGAGCGAUCUUCUUCGGAAGAGAGCGGCGGAUGGGUGAGUAACGCGUGGGUAACCUGCCCUGGACACACGGAUAACAUACCGAAAGGUAUGCUAAUACGAGAUAAUAUGCUUUUAUCUCGUGGUAGAAGUAUCAAAGCUCCGGCGGUACAGGAUGGACCCGCGUCUGAUUAGCUAGUUGGUAAGGUGACGGCUUACCAAGGCGACGAUCAGUAGCCGACCUGGGAGGGUGAUCGGCCACAUUGGAACUGAGACACGGUCCAAACUCCUACGGGAGGCAGCAGUGGGGAAUAUUGCACAAUGGGCGAAAGCCUGAUGCAGCAACGCCGCGUGAGCGAUGAAGGCCUUCGGGUCGUAAAGCUCUGUCCUCAAGGAAGAUAAUGACGGUACCUGAGGAGGAAGCCCUGGCUAACUACGUGCCAGCCGCCGCCGUAA
rnacentral:rRNA from 1 species